rnacentral:rRNA from 1 species
UGGUCUUGACAUGUACGGAAUCUUCCAGAGACGGGAGAGUGCCUUCGGGAGCCGUAACACAGGUGCUGCAUGGCUGUCGUCAGCUCGUGUCGUGAGAUGUUGGGUUAAGUCCCGCAACGAGCGCAACCCUUGUCAUUAGUUGCCAUCAUUUGGUUGGGCACUCUAAUGAGACUGCCGGUGACAAACCGGAGGAAGGUGGGGAUGACGUCAAGUCCUCAUGGCCCUUAUGACCAGGGCUUCACACGUCAUACAAUGGUCGGUACAGAGGGUAGCGAAGCUGCGAGGUGGAGACAAUCCCAGAAAACCGAUCGUAGUCCGGAUUGCACUCUGAAACUCGAGUGCAUGAAGUCGGAAUCGCUAGUAAUCGCAGGUCAGCAUACUGCGGUGAAUACGUUCCCGGGUC